CUUUACGCGAACGAGCCAUGACAUUGCUGACGACUCUGGCAGUGGCAGAUGACAUAAAACUGGUCGACUGGUUACAACAACGCCUGGGGCUUUUAGAGCAACGAGACACGGCAAUGUUGCACCGUUUGCUGCAUGAUAUUGAAAAAAAUAUCACCAAAUAAAAAACGCCUUAGUAAGUGAUUUUCGUUAAUGAGGCGAACCGGGGGAACUGAAACAUCUAAGUACCCCGAGGAAAAGAAAUCAACCGAGAUUCCCCCAGUAGCGGCGAGCGAACGGGGAGGAGCCCAGAGCCUGAAUCAGUGUGUGUGUUAGUGGAAGCGUCUGGAAAGGCGUGCGAUACAGGGUGACAGCCCCGUACACAAAAAUGCACAUGCUGUGAGCUCGAUGAGUAGGGCGGGACACGUGGUAUCCUGUCUGAAUAUGGGGGGACCAUCCUCCAAGGCUAAAUACUCCUGACUGACCGAUAGUGAACCAGUACCGUGAGGGAAAGGCGAAAAGAACCCCGGCGAGGGGAGUGAAAAAGAACCUGAAACCGUGUACGUACAAGCAGUGGGAGGGUUAACCGAAUAGGGGAGCCGAAGGGAAACCGAGUCUUAACUGGGCGUUAAGUUGCAGGGUAUAGACCCGAAACCCGGUGAUCUAGCCAUGGGCAGGUUGAAGGUUGGGUAACACUAACUGGAGGACCGAACCGACUAAUGUUGAAAAAUUAGCGGAUGACUUGUGGCUGGGGGUGAAAGGCCAAUCAAACCGGGAGAUAGCUGGUUCUCCCCGAAAGCUAUUUAGGUAGCGCCUCGUGAACUCAUCUCCGGGGGUAGAGCACUGUUUCGGCAAGGGGGUCAUCCCGACUUACCAACCCGAUGCAAACUGCGAAUACCGGAGAAUGUUAUCACGGGAGACACACGGCGGGUGCUAACGUCCGUCGNGAAGAGGGAAACAACCCAGACCGCCAGCUAAGGUCCCAAAGUCAUGGUUAAGUGGGAAACGAUGUGGGAAGGCCCAGACAGCCAGGAUGUUGGCUUAGAAGCAGCCAUCAUUUAAAGAAAGCGUAAUAGCUCACUGGUCGAGUCGGCCUGCGCGGAAGAUGUAACGGGGCUAAACCAUGCACCGAAGCUGCGGCAGCGACGCUUAUGCGUUGUUGGGUAGGGGAGCGUUCUGUAAGCCUGUGAAGGUGGCCUGUGAGGGUUGCUGGAGGUAUCAGAAGUGCGAAUGCUGACAUAAGUAACGAUAAAGCGGGUGAAAAGCCCGCUCGCCGGAAGACCAAGGGUUCCUGUCCAACGUUAAUCGGGGCAGGGUGAGUCGACCCCUAAGGCGAGGCCGAAAGGCGUAGUCGAUGGGAAACAGGUUAAUAUUCCUGUACUUGGUGUUACUGCGAAGGGGGGACGGAGAAGGCUAUGUUGGCCGGGCGACGGUUGUCCCGGUUUAAGCGUGUAGGCUGGUUUUCCAGGCAAAUCCGUAGGUGAAGCGACUUGCUCGUGGAGCUGAAAUCAGUCGAAGAUACCAGCUGGCUGCAACUGUUUAUUAAAAACACAGCACUGUGCAAACACGAAAGUGGACGUAUACCUUGAUCGAAGCCCCGGUAAACGGCGGCCGUAACUAUAACGGUCCUAAGGUAGCGAAAUUCCUUGUCGGGUAAGUUCCGACCUGCACGAAUGGCGUAAUGAUGGCCAGGCUGUCUCCACCCGAGACUCAGUGAAAUUGAACUCGCUGUGAAGAUGCAGUGUACCCGCGGCAAGACUUACACGAUAUCAAUAUCGCACUGCGGCAUGCCGCCCAGGUCAUCAUGCUGAAAGAGGGGAAACUUAUCGACAGCGGCGACCCGCAAACGGUGAUCCAUGCAGAGAGCCUUGCGCAGGUAUACGGCGUACGCGGGAGAGUUGAACGUUGUGCUCAGGGAAGAUCGAUGGUGAUAGUGGAUGGUGCAAUCGAAAAAUAGUCGGAUUAACGUGGUUGCUUCAGCCUCAGGUAAAGAUCAAUUGCUCAGGGAAGAUCGAUGGUGAUAGUGGAUGGUGCAAUCGAAAAAUAGUCGGAUUAACGUGGUUGCUUCAGCCUCAGGUAAAGAUCAAUAGGAAGUCUGUAAUGCAACAUAUAGACCGCCUUAAUGUCAUUAAAGCACUUGUGCUUUGUUCCAUGGUGCAUAAUUCACACAGAUCAUCAUCCAGGGGCGGCGUGGCCCGUUUGUCAGGCCAUAAAUCAGCCGGUGCAGCUCGGGGUACGAUGGCAAUCUCGGUUUUUCACCAUUGAAUGACACCCACCCGGGCGUCAGAUUUGGAAGUAGUGAUAUUCGGAUGACACACGCCCCAGGAUACGGCGUGCCGGGUGAAGCCGGUCAGCCAUUUCUGGUAGCUUUCGUGGAGCAGUCGUAACGGGUCUGAUACUG
rnacentral:rRNA from 1 species